GCAUGGCUGAAUACUGUGCUCUUUUUAUCCAUAUGUUAUACAACCAGACACCAUGCAGAAUUAGUUUUCCCUUGAAAUUGCUUUUGAUGGGAUGCUGAUUUUUUUUCCAUGACAUAUCAUUACUAAAAGUGGCUGCAAAU